rnacentral:tRNA from 1 species
GGAGGGGUAGCGAAGUGGCUAAACGCGGCGACUGUAAAUCCGCUCUUCGGGUUCGGCAGUUCGAAUCUGCCCUCCACCA